AACGAACGCUGGCGGCAUGCCUAACACAUGCAAGUCGAACGAGACCUUCGGGUCUAGUGGCGCACGGGUGCGUAACGCGUGGGAACCUGCCCUUAGGUUCGGAAUAACUCAGAGUAAUUUGAGCUAAUACCGGAUGAUGUCUUCGGGCCAAGGAUUUAUCGCCUUUAGAUGGGCCCGCGUUGGUUUAGCUGGUUGGUGGGGUAAACGCCUACCAAGGCGACGAUCCAUAGCUGGUCUGAGAGGAUGAUCAGCCACACUGGGACUGAGACACGGCCCAGACUCGUACGGGAGGGAGCAGUGGGGAAUAUUGGAGAAUGGGCGAAAGCCUGAUCCAGCAAUGCCGCGUGAGUGAUGAAGGCGUUAGGGUUGUAAAGCUCUUUUACACGAGAUGAGAAUGACAGUAUCGGGAGAAUAAGCUCCGGCUAACUACGUG
rnacentral:rRNA from 1 species